rnacentral:rRNA from 1 species
AACGAACGCUGGCGGCAUGCCUAAUACAUGCAAGUCGAACGAGAUCUUCGGAUCUAGUGGCGCACGGGUGCGUAACGCGUGGGAAUCUGCCCUUGGGUUCGGAAUAACUUCUGGAAACGGAAGCUAAUACCGGAUGAUGACGUAAGUCCAAAGAUUUAUCGCCCAAGGAUGAGCCCGCGUAGGAUUAGCUAGUUGGUGGGGUAAAGGCCCACCAAGGCGACGAUCCUUAGCUGGUCUGAGAGGAUGAUCAGCCACACUGGGACUGAGACACGGCCCAGACUCCUACGGGAGGCAGCAGUAGGGAAUAUUGGACAAUGGGGGAAACCCUGAUCCAGCAAUGCCGCGGGAGUGAUGAAGGCCUUAGGGUUGUAAAGCUCUUUUACCCGGGAUGAUAAUGACAGUACCGGGAGAAUAAGCUCCGGCUAACUCCGUG